AGAGUUUGAUCAUGGCUCAGGAUCAACGCUGGCGGCGUGCAUGAGACAUGCAAGUCGAACGGGUGACUCGGGCUUGCUCGAGUCGCUAGUGGCGAACGGCUGAGUAACGCGUAGGCGACCUGCCCCGAAGUGGGGAAUAACUGCCCGAAAGGGUGGCUAAUACCGCAUGUGGUCGUGCGUUCGAUCGCACGAUCAAAGCCGCAAGGCGCUUCGGGAGGGGCCUGCGUCCGAUUAGCUCGUUGGUGGGGUAAUGGCCUACCAAGGCGACGAUCGGUAGGUGGUCUGAGAGGACGAUCACCCAGACUGGGACUGAGACACGGCCCAGACUCCUACGGGAGGCAGCAGUCGGGAAUUUUGCUCAAUGGGCGAAAGCCUGAAGCAGCAACGCCGCGUGAGGGAUGGAGGCCUUCGGGUCGUAAACCUCUUUUCUCAGGGACGAUGAUGACGGUACCUGAGGAAUAAGCCACGGCAAACUACGUGCCAGCCGCCGCGGUAAUAC
rnacentral:rRNA from 1 species